GUAGGUGAACCUGCGGAAGGAUCAUUGUCGAAUCCUGCAAACGACCGCGAACACGUGAACGAACCGCGGGCAACGGGGGGACGGGGGCGACCCUGCCUUCCCGCGCCCGCACCSAACUUAACUCUCGGCGCGGAAAGCGUCAAGGACUACUAGAACGGAUCGCCCGUCUCCGUCGCGGCUUCCGCGGUCGGGGGCGCCGGCGUCUGAAACGUAACCAGUACGACUCUCGGCAACGGAUAUCUAGGCUCUCGCAUCGAUGAAGAACGUAGCGAAAUGCGAUACUUGGUGUGAAUUGCAGAAUCCCGUGAACCAUCGAGUUUUUGAACGCAAGUUGCGCCCGAAGCCAUUAGGCUGAGGGCACGCCUGCCUGGGCGUCACGCAUCUCGUCGCCACCCCUCACCCCCCGGGGGAAAGGGGCGGCGGAUGUUGGCCUCCCGUGCCCUCGGGUGCGGCCGGCCCAAACGCGAGUCCUCGGCUCGGGACGUCACGACUAGCGGUGGUU
rnacentral:misc_RNA from 1 species